GACGAACGCUGGCGGCGUGCCUAAUACAUGCAAGUCGAGCGGAGUUAUUCCUUCGGGGAUGACUUAGCGGCGGACGGGUGAGUAACACGUGGGCAACCUGCCUGUAAGAUCGGGAUAACUUCGGGAAACCGGAGCUAAUACCGGAUAAUCCUUUUCCACAUAUGUGGGAAAGCUGAAGGACGGUUUCGGCUGUCACUUACAGAUGGGCCCGCGGCGCAUUAGCUAGUUGGUGAGGCAACGGCUCACCAAGGCGACGACGCGUAGCCGACCUGAGAGGGUGAUCGGCCACACUGGGACUGAGACACGGCCCAGACUCCUACGGGAGGCAGCAGUAGGGAAUCUUCCGCAAUGGACGAAAGUCUGACGGAGCAACGCCGCGUGAGCGAUGAAGGCCUUCGGGUCGUAAAGCUCUGUUGUUAGGGAAGAACAAGUAUCGGAGUAACUGCCGGUACCUUGACGGUACCUAACCAGAAAGCUACGGCUAACUACGUGCCAGCAGCCGCCGUAA
rnacentral:rRNA from 1 species